CUACGUGCCAGCAGCCGCGGUAAUACGGAAGGUCCAGGCGUUAUCCGGAUUUAUUGGGUUUAAAGGGGGCGUAGGCGGAUUAUUAAGUCAGUGGUGAAAGACGGUGGCUCAACCAUCGUUAGCCAUUGAAACUGGUAGUCUUGAGUGCAGACAGGGAUGCUGGAACUCGUGGUGUAGCGGUGAAAUGCUUAGAUAUCACGAUGAACUCCGAUCGCGAAGGCAGGUGUCCGGGCUGCAACUGACGCUGAGGCUCGAAAGUGUGGGUAUCAAACAGGAUUAGAUACCCUGGUAGUCCACACAGUAAACGAUGUAUACUCGCGGUUUGCGAUAUAGUGUAAGCCGCCAAGCGAAAGCAUUAAGUAUACCACCUGGGGAGUACGCCGGCAACGGUGAAACUCAAAGGAAUUGACGGGGGCCCGCACAAGCGGAGGAACAUGUGGUUUAAUUCGAUGAUACGCGAGGAACCUUACCCGGGCUUGAAC
rnacentral:rRNA from 1 species